rnacentral:rRNA from 1 species
CAUGCAAGUCGAGCGAGAAGCUAACUUCGGUUGGUGGACAGCGGCGCACGGGUGAGUAACGCGUGGGAAUUUACCUUUCGGCGGGGGACAACAGUUGGAAACGACUGCUAAUACCGCAUACGCCCUACGGGGGAAAGAUUUAUCACCGAAAGAUAGGCCCGCGUUAGAUUAGGUAGUUGGUAGGGUCAAAGCCUACCAAGCCGACGAUCUAUAGCUGGUUUGAGAGAACGAUCAGCCACACUGGAACUGAGACACGGUCCAGACUCCUACGGGAGGCAGCAGUGGGGAAUCUUGCACAAUGGGCGAAAGCCUGAUGCAGCCAUGCCGCGUGAGUGAGAAGGCCUUCGGGUUGUAAAACUCUUUUAGAUGUGAAGAUGAUGACGGUAACAUCAGAAAAAGCACCGGCUAACUUCGUGCCAGCAGCCGCGGUAAUACGAAGGGUGCUAGCGUUGUUCGGAAUUACUGGGCGUAAAGAGCGUGUAGGCGGCUUAGCAAGUUAGAGGUGAAAUCCCAGGGCUCAACCCUGGAACUGCCUUUCAUACUGGCAAUCUUGAGUUCGAGAGAGGUGAGUGGAAUUCCGAGUGUAGAGGUGAAAUUCGU